UUUUUAUACAAACACAAUUUCAUGAUUUAUUAAUUAAAAAUAGAAGGAGAAUCAUCAAGUAUACAACCACAAUUUGCUGUUGAAUUCCACCAAUUACUCAAUAAAUCUAACAAUUACAAAAAUUACUCCAUAAACUUAGCAAUUACAGGAGAAAAAUCCAGCACAAUUGGCCAUCCUCCAGCAAUUACAGUAGAAAUUACUUAGUACAACCUACCACAUCCAGCAAUUACCCAACACAACCUACCAAAUCCAUCAAUUACCCACCAAUAAAUUCCUAGUAUAACCAAUACUAACAUUGAAUCAUCACCUUUAAUAGUAGCUUCAUCAAAUUCGGGAGCACUGCCAUGCUCACUUUGGCCAUCCUCUUGCCUCUGUGUAAGUCAGGUAACGUACUAUGGAUGCCCAAUCCUCAAAGAAACUGGACUGACUGAAUCACAGAUGGAGAAUGCCGACGAUUUCAUGGACAAUGAGGGAGAAAUAGGUGUGUGCUUCCCUUGCCUUUUGUAAUGGCUUCAAAGUCAUGGUUUCACCUGGCUCCCACCUAUGGUCCCUAAUGUUAUGGACUGAACUAGAUUAUGGAGGAUGGGAACAAAAUGGGACUUGUGGGUUCAAAGUUGCUAGGAGUCUUGAAAUGGUGGUGGUACACAAAGAUGAGAAAUGAUGGUGGCCG
rnacentral:misc_RNA from 1 species